rnacentral:lncRNA from 1 species
GUAUUGGUGUUGCUUCCCACAGGAUGUUGCUAUCUCUACAAUAGCCGGAGAAGAAAAAAGUUUUGAAAUGCACACGGAGUGGCUCAGCUGUGAAUCUCGCAAAGGCUCUCCUGACGAGGAUGAAAUCAAUGAAAGGAUGGCCUCGACAUGGCGCCAAGGAAUUUCUGACAUCGCAACAAAUAGUAUUCAUGAGGCGAAGAGGAAGUACCCAUACAUGAUGAGCUUUGAGCGGUGACUUUGCAAGACUAACUAAGAUUGACCCUUCACCAUGUAUUGCAAAAGGGAUCAACAAAAUUGUGAAAAUGGCAGAAAUGAAACGCAUCCCUUGCGAAGCAAGUGUAAUGGUAUCACUUGAACAGGCUCGUGAGAUGUCACCGGAGAGGCUGCGAACACGACGGCCCGAGCGUUCCUGCAACCCCUUGCAUCGUAUUUUCUGGAGCAGACGUUGUAGAGGCUGACCUUCUCCACAUCAAGGUGGACCGCGACAGGUUGUUUGCGGUGAAAAAUGGGGAGGAGGGGCUGGCGGCUGUCUUAUCUGCUUACUGGCUCUUCAAUAUCCAGUACGACAGCAAGCUGUUCAACGCUCUUGUCGUGUUGGAGCGCCUUUUCCUCGGGCUCACAUUGAGUACCCCUAGAGUAGUGGCUACAAAGUUCUUGAACAAAGUCACCAAAAGUGAGCCAUGUUGAAUGUGCUGUUGGCCGUCUUGGCCGUAACAAUAUUGAAGUGGUAACAAACUUUUGACAACAAAGUGGUAACUUUUGAUAACAAAAGAAAUUUAAGUCUAGCCAACUUCCGUUGUGGAGCCAGUGGAGGCAAAUCAAGUAACCAAUGCAUUUCGGAAACAGAGUCAAUGCGAUAAUACCGGGAAAGAAUGAACCUUGCAGAUUUUUUCUAUAUCUUCUUAAUGCGAUUUAUUAAUCCUGAUUGAAACGGAUCCCAAAUGACG